UAAGUGCGCACUCGCCGCAGGCAACGUGUUUCACUGGGCGUUUCGAUGCGCGCGAAAAUGGUGCGCGCUGUUUCACUGGGAAGUCUAGUGCCGAGUUUUUGCACUAUAGUGCGAGAAUUCGGCACGAGCUCCGAGAGACGGUGUCAGUUCAGUGCAACAUGGCUGCGUGGGAUGGUGACAAUGUUUCAAAUUCACGAGAUACACGAUUAGCAUUUGGACUAUUAAAUUUGCUUUCUUCUUCAUCAUCCAGUAUUGAUAAAGAUGAUUUAUUAUUAAAAGAAAAUCCGCGGAAAAUUCCAAAGAUCGAAAACUUUGUUCAAAUAAUGCAUAAUCUUAUAAUAAGUAUUUCAAAAGUCAUUUUUGGAUUGCAAGAACAACAGCUUACAAAAUAAUAAAAAUUUAUGAAUAUUCCGAAUUCUAUCCAUUUGAUCAGAGUCACGGAGGUGUGCUGAGAAUAAAGUCUGCCUUAGAGAUGUGUCGUAAAGAUUUGGAGUAUGUCAUGCAAUAACUUUCAGGCAGAACAAUCGAGUGCUUGAUUUUUUAAUUGAUAUAACGCUAAAGAUCAUAAAAUUUGGAGACAACAAAGUUUCUGCAAAGAUUAUUAAUAUUAUUAUAUGUAUAUAUAUAAUUCUCUCUUCCUCUCCCUCCCCCUCCACCUCCCCCUCUCCCUAUAAUAGUCGAUAAUUGGUACUGCAAUGUCUAUUGCAAUAAACUAAAGAUUAACUACAGUUUAUAUUCUUCUAAAGUUAAUCACAGAUAAUAGUUCAUCACAGAUGUCGAUAGAGAAAAAAAACUAGUGUAGAAAAAAACAAAAUUAUGUAAGAAACAAACAAAAUUAUUAA